rnacentral:rRNA from 1 species
GAUGAACGCUGACAGAAUGCUUAACACGUGCAAGUCAACUUGAAUUUGGGUUUUUAACUUAGGUUUGGGUGGCGGACGGGUGAGUAACGCGUAAAGAACUUGCCUCACAGCUAGGGACAACAUUUGGAAACGAAUGCUAAUACCUAAUAUUAUGAUAAUAGGGCAUCCUAUAAUUAUGAAAGCUAUAAGCGCUGUGAGAGAGCUUUGCGUCCCAUUAGCUAGUUGGAGAGGUAACGGCUCACCAAGGCGAUGAUGGGUAGCCGGCCUGAGAGGGUGAUCGGCCACAAGGGGACUGAGACACGGCCCUUACUCCUACGGGAGGCAGCAGUGGGGAAUAUUGGACAAUGGACCGAGAGUCUGAUCCAGCAAUUCUGUGUGCACGAUGCAGUUUUUCGGAAUGUAAAGUGCUUUCAGUUGGGAAGAAACAAAUGACGGUACCAACAGAAGAAGUGACGGCUAAAUACGUG